GGAGAUGCCAUAACUUUUGAAUCUGAGAUGGACCGUGUCUACCUUAGUUCUCCUAAUCGCAUUGCUGUUCUUGAUCAUGAAAGGAAACGGACAUAUCUGAUAAGGAAGGAAGGACUGCCAGAUACUGUGGUGUGGAAUCCAUGGGAGAAGAAAGCCAAAGCAAUGGUGGAUUUUGGUGAUGAUGAGUAUAAACAGAUGCUUUGUGUUGAUGGAGCAGCAAUAGAAAAACCCAUCACCUUGAAGCCAGGAGAGGAAUGGACCGGUCGUGUAGAGCUUGUGGCCGUGCCAUCAAGUUUUUGUGAUCUUUGAAACAUUUUAGUAAUGCUCAGCAACUUAUAGCUUAACGAGGGACCGUAUACUCUAUCUAUACUAGGUUUAUUUGCUUGUUAAUGAUGUUAUGAAGUUGAGCCACCAAAGCCUAUCUUUUUUUUAGAAUGGCUGCUUGGUGUUGUGUCUUUUGAAGAGUCAAGUUGUUUUUGC
rnacentral:misc_RNA from 1 species